rnacentral:rRNA from 1 species
GAGUUUGAUCAUGGCUCAAGAUGAACGCUAGCUACAGGCUUAACACAUGCAAGUCGAGGGGCAGCAUGUUGGUUGCUUGCAACCAACGAUGGCGACCGGCGCACGGGUGAGUAACGCGUAUCCAACCUACCCUUGUCCAUCGGAUAACCCGUCGAAAGGCGGCCUAACACGAUAUGCGGUUCACAGCAGGCAUCUAACGUGAACGAAUGUAAAGGAGAAGGAUGGGGAUGCGUCUGAUUAGCUUGUUGGCGGGGUAACGGCCACCAAGGCUACGAUCAGUAGGGGUUCUGGGAGGAAGGUCCCCCACAUUGGAACUGAGACACGGUCCAAACUCCUACGGGAGGCA